rnacentral:rRNA from 1 species
AACAGGCCCUUCGGGGUGCUGACGAGUGGCGGACGGGUGAGUAAAGCGUAGGGAUCUACCUCGUUGAGUGGAAUAGCCUAGGGAAACUUAGGGUAAUACCGCAUAAGCCCUAAGGGGGAAAGCCUGGGACCGAAAGGCCAGGCGCAAUGAGAUGAACGUACGUCGGAUUAGCUAGUUGGUAGGGUAAAGGCCUACCAAGGCAAUGAUCCGUAGCUGGUCUGAGAGGACGACCAGCCACACUGGGACUGAGACACGGCCCAGACUCCUACGGGAGGCAGCAGUGGGGAAUAUUGGACAAUGGGCGGAAGCCUGAUCCAGCAAUGCCGCGUGUGUGAAGAAGGCCUGCGGGUUGUAAAGCACUUUCGGUGGGGAGAAAGAGGCCCUGCUUAAUAAGCAGGGUGGAUGAUGUUACCCACAGAAGAAGCACCGGCUAACUCUGUGCCAGCAGCCGCGGUAAUACAGAGGGUGCGAGCGUUAAUCGGAAUUACUGGGCGUAAAGGGUGCGUAGGUGGUGACAUAAGUUAGGUGUGAAAGUCCCGGGGCUUAACCUGGGGAUUGCGCCUAAUACUGUG